rnacentral:rRNA from 1 species
GAUGAACGCUGGCGGCGUGCCUAAUACAUGCAAGUCGAGCGAACAGACGAGGAGCUUGCUCCUCUGACGUUAGCGGCGGACGGGUGAGUAACACGUGGAUAACCUACCUAUAAGACUGGGAUAACUUCGGGAAACCGGAGCUAAUACCGGAUAAUAUAUUGAACCGCAUGGUUCAAUAGUGAAAGACGGUUUUGCUGUCACUUAUAGAUGGAUCCGCGCCGCAUUAGCUAGUUGGUAAGGUAACGGCUUACCAAGGCGACGAUGCGUAGCCGACCUGAGAGGGGGAUCGGCCACACUGGAACUGAGACACGGUCCAGACUCCUACGGGAGGCAGCAGUAGGGAAUCUUCCGCAAUGGGCGAAAGCAUGACGGAGCAACGCCGCGUGAGUGAUGAAGGUCUUCGGAUCGUAAAACUCUGUUAUUAGGGAAGAACAAAUGUGUAAGUAACUAUGCACGUCUUGACGGUACCUAAUCAGAAAGCCACGGCUAACUACGUG